rnacentral:rRNA from 1 species
UACGUAGGGUGCGAGCGUUAAUCGGAAUUACUGGGCGUAAAGCGUGCGCAGGCGGUUCGUUGUGUCGGCGGUGAAAUCCCCGGGCUCAACCUGGGAAUGGCCGUUGAAACUGGCGAACUGGAGUGUGGCAGAGGGGGGUGGAAUUCCGCGUGUAGCAGUGAAAUGCGUAGAGAUGCGGAGGAACACCGAAGGCGAAGGCAGCCCCCUGGGCUGACACUGACGCUCAGGCACGAAAGCGUGGGGAGCAAACAGG